UACACGACCGUACCGCAAACCGACACUGGUGCGCGAGAUGAGUAUUCUAAGGCGCUUGAGAGAACUCAGGAGAAGGAACUCGGCAAAUUGACACCGUAACUUCGGAAGAAGGUGUGCCUUUAGUAGGUGAACCAUUUACUUGGGGAGCCCAAUGAGGCUGCAAAAAAUCGGUGGCUGCAACUGUUUAUUAAAAACACAGCACUCUGCUAAGACGAAAGUCGACGUAUAGGGUGUGACGCCUGCCCGGUGCUGGAAGAUUAAAUGAUGGGGUGCAAGCUCUUGAUUGAAGUCCCAGUAAACGGCGGCCGUAACAAUAACGGUCCUAAGGUAGCGAAAUUCCUUGUCGGGUAAGUUCCGACCUGCACGAAUGGCGUAAUGAUGGCCACACUGUCUCCUCCUGAGACUCAGCGAAGUUGAAAUGUUUGUGAUGAUGCAAUCUCCCCGCGGAAAGACGGAAAGACCCCAUGAACCUUUACUGUAGCUUUGUAUUGGACUUUGAACAGAUCUGUGUAGGAUAGGUGGGAGGCUUUGAAGUGUGGUCGCUAGAUCGCAUGGAGCCAACGUUGAAAUACCACCCUGGUGUGUUUGAGGUUCUAACCUAGGUCCAUUAUCUGGAUCGGGGACAGUGCAUGGUAGGCAGUUUGACUGGGGCGGUCUCCUCCCAAAGUGUAACGGAGGAGUUCGAAGGUACGCUAGGUACGGUCGGACAUCGUGCUAAUAGUGCAAUGGCAUAAGCGUGCUUAACUGCGAGACUGACAAGUCGAGCAGAUGCGAAAGCAGGACAUAGUGAUCCGGUGGUUCUGUAUGGAAGGGCCAUCGCUCAACGGAUAAAAGGUACUCUGGGGAUAACAGGCUGAUACCGCCCAAGAGUUCAUAUCGACGGCGGUGUUUGGCACCUCGAUGUCGGCUCAUCUCAUCCUGGGGCUGUAGCCGGUCCCAAGGGUAUGGCUGUUCGCCAUUUAAAGAGGUACGUGAGCUGGGUUUAAAACGUCGUGAGACAGUUUGGUCCCUAUCUUCCGUGGGCGCUGCAGAUUUGAGGAAGCCUGCUCCUAGUACGAGAGGACCGGAGUGGACGAACCUCUGGUGUAUCGGUUGUCACGCCAGUGGCAUUGCCGAGUAGCUAAGUUCGGAAGAGAUAACCGCUGAAAGCAUCUAAGCGGGAAACUCGUUUCAAGAUUAGAUCUGCCGGGGCCUUGAGCCCCCUAAAGAGUCGUUCAAGACCAGGACGUUGAUAGGUCAGGUGUGGAAGCG
rnacentral:rRNA from 1 species